ACCCGCACAAGCGGUGGAUGAUGUGGUUUAAUUCGAUGCAACGCGAAAACCUUACCCACCUUUGGCAUGUACGGAAUCCUUUAGAGAUAGAGGAGUGCUCGAAAGAGAGCCGUAACACAGGUGCUGCAUGGCUGUCGUCAGCUCGUGUCGUGAGAUGUUGGGUUAAGUCCCGCAACGAGCGCAACCCUUGUCAUUAGUUGCUACGAAAGGGCACUCUAAUGAGACUGCCGGUGACAAACCGGAGGAAGGUGGGGAUGACGUCAAGUCCUCAUGGCCCUUAUAGGUGGGGCUACACACGUCAUACAAUGGCUGGUACAAAGGGUUGCCAACCCGCGAGGGGGAGCCAAUCCCAUAAAGCCAGUCGUAGUCCGGAUCGCAGUCUGCAACUCGACUGCGUGAAGUCGGAAUCGCUAGUAAUCGUGGAUCAGCAUGUCACGGUCGAAUACGUUCCCGGGCCUU
rnacentral:rRNA from 1 species